ACAGUUUCUAUUCCAAUUCCAAAAACUAAUCAUCUUUUUCUAUCUAUUUAUUUCUUCUUCCUCUGCAUUUUCAUAAAAAAAACGGUUUCUUCUUCUAUCGAUUUUUUUCAAUUUUUCAACCGUUGUUGCUUGAGGUUCGUCAACGGUGGAUGACUUCACGUAUGGUGUCUGCGGCUGCGUCGAUCUUGGCCGGAAGGAUGAUGCUUGCGGUGAUUGGUUUCGCUUUCUCAUGACCCUUCAUAGUUGUCGGGUUUAAUUAAACGACAAAUCACGAUACCCGGCGCAUCCAACCCAAAACGCGAAAAGAUUUGAAGAAAAUACCUGUCUGUUAUGGGAGCACAAAAUAGAGUGAAAAUAUCAACCACAAAAUACAGCAAGAAUCAAUCAGAUGCAUAAUUCAAUUUUACUUAGAUUCAAACACAAUAAAGUAGAGCAACAAUAAUUCGAGUGAAUUUUACAGGGAAGGGUUCAAAAUAACUCAAUGCAAAAUUGGAAUUUCAUCACAAUGAAGAUGAAACUCUCAAUUAGCAGAGGUUGCCCUUAGUGAGGGUAUGCACUUAGCUUCUGCUGGUACGUUCGGGUUGUCUUUUUUGUGUAUGCACUUAGCUUCUGCAGGUACGUUCGGGUUGUCUUUUUUAUGUCCCCAGAGCGUAACACUUGCAGUCACAGGACUUUUUUUAGUGCAAUGUGAUUAGGGUUAGGGAUGGUGAGACCGUGGCAUUAAGUUUGAAUUCUUGACUUUUCUUUUAACUCCCAAUUCUGUGUGUGCAGUAAGGUGGUUACACCAACCACACUUGGCUUGAUGAUAUGCUGUCGAGAGGUAUAAUGCUUUGAUUCGGUGACGACAUGUUUCGGCAUAGAAGCAUUAUCAAGGUCUCGCCUUAUAGCGGAAAAGUGGAUGAUUCCAUCGAUAAUUAUUCUUGAUACUGGCCACACAUCGAAGAAGAAUAAGAUGAAAGCAGAUUGUAAGGUGAAAUGGAUAGCUGUAGCGGUGAAAAUCCGUUUUGACGGUAGCGACCUCAACGAAACAGAAGGUUGCAGUUCUGGAACAGUUUCAACUGAACGAUGCACUUGAUCUACACACUUUGCUGAUUUUGAUGGUGAGUUUUUGUAAUUUCUGGAAUUGAGAUCCAUUUCGUGAAGUUCACUCUGUUUAAAUUGUUUAAUAUUUUGUCUUAGCAUGCUGAUAACACUGUUUUAUAUUCUUCUGGAAAGUUAUUUGAUCUCUCUGAAAGUCCUUGAACCUUCGUUAUUGAACCUAUAUUAUUAGAUCUUGUGAGAUUAAUAAACAUUGAAUUCAUGCAGAAAGAGAUAGAGAAUAAGAUAGAUGAUAAUGAUCAUCAUCAAGAACAAUAACUGAAGUAUCUUGGG